rnacentral:rRNA from 1 species
CAGCCGCCGCGGUAAAACGUAGGUCCCGAGCGUUGUCCGGAUUUAUUGGGCGUAAAGCGAGCGCAGGCGGUUUGAUAAGUCUGAAGUUAAAGGCUGUGGCUCAACCAUAGUUCGCUUUGGAAACUGUCAAACUUGAGUGCAGAAGGGGAGAGUGGAAAUCCAUGUGUAGCGGUGAAAUGCGUAGAUAUUAGGAAGAACACCAGUGGCGAAGGCGACUUUCUGGCUUGUAACUGACGCUGAGGCUCGAAAGCGUGGGGAGCAAACGGGAUUAGAUACCCGCGUAGUCCCUGUCUCUUAUACC